CCUACGGGUGGCAGCAGUGGGGAAUAUUGGACAAUGGGCGAAAGCCUGAUCCAGCCAUGCCGCGUGUGUGAAGAAGGCCUUCGGGUUGUAAAGCACUUUCAGUGGGGAAGAAAGCCUUGGGGCUAAUACCCUCGAGGAAGGACAUCACCCACAGAAGAAGCACCGGCUAACUCCGUGCCAGCAGCCGCGGUAAUACGGAGGGUGCGAGCGUUAAUCGGAAUUACUGGGCGUAAAGCGCGCGUAGGCGGUCUGAUAAGCCGGUUGUGAAAGCCCCGGGCUCAACCUGGGAACGGCAUCCGGAACUGUCAGGCUAGAGUGCAGGAGAGGAAGGUAGAAUUCCCGGUGUAGCGGUGAAAUGCGUAGAGAUCGGGAGGAAUACCAGUGGCGAAGGCGGCCUUCUGGACUGACACUGCCGCUGAGGUGCGAAAGCGUGGGUAGCAAACAGGAUUAGAUACCCGAGUAGUC
rnacentral:rRNA from 1 species